GCCCUCUUGGCGCAAUGGAUAGCGCGUGUGACUUCUAAUCACGAGGUUAUGGGUUCGAAUCCCAUAGUGGGUG
rfam:Enterospora canceri strain GB1 scaffold_12, whole genome shotgun sequence.